GGAUAACACCUGGAAACAGAUGCUAAUACCGGAUAACAACAGAUGAUGCCUAUCAACUGUUUAAAAGAUGGUUCUGCUAUCACUCUUGGAUGGACCUGCGGUGCAUUAGCUAGUUGGUAGGGUAACGGCCUACCAAGGCGAUGAUGCAUAGCCGAGUUGAGAGACUGAUCGGCCACAUUGGGACUGAGACACGGCCCAAACUCCUACGGGAGGCAGCAGAC
rnacentral:rRNA from 1 species